rnacentral:rRNA from 1 species
UUACAUGAGAGUUUGAUCCUGGCUCAGGACGAACGCUGGCGGCGUGCCUAAUACAUGCAAGUCGAGCGGACAAAAAGGAGCUUGCUCCUUUUUAGUCAGCGGCGGACGGGUGAGUAACACGUGGGCAACCUGCCUGUAAGACUGGGAUAACUCCGGGAAACCGGGGCUAAUACCGGAUAAUUUCUUUUUCCGCAUGGAGAAAGGAUAAAAGACGGCUCUGCUGUCACUUACAGAUGGGCCCGCGGCGCAUUAGCUAGUUGGUGGGGUAACGGCCUACCAAGGCAACGAUGCGUAGCCGACCUGAGAGGGUGAUCGGCCACACUGGGACUGAGACACGGCCCAGACUCCUACGGGAGGCAGCAGUAGGGAAUCUUCCGCAAUGGACGCAAGUCUGACGGAGCAACGCCGCGUGAGUGAUGAAGGUCUUCGGAUCGUAAAACUCUGUUAUCAGGGAAGAACCCGCACCGGAGUAACUGCCGGUGCGUUGACGGUACCUGACCAGAAAGCCACGGCUAACUACGUGCCAGCAGCCGCGGUAAUACGUAGGUGGCAAGCGUUGU